UACAGAGGUCCCAAGCGUUGUUCGGAUUCACUGGGCGUAAAGGGUGCGUAGGUGGUGAUCUAAGUCGGGUGUGAAAUCUCCGGGCUCAACCCGGAGACUGCGCUCGAAACUGGAUUGCUAGAGGAUGGGAGGGGAGACUGGAAUUCUCGGUGUAGCAGUGAAAUGCGUAGAUAUCGAGAGGAACACCGGUGGCGAAGGCGAGUCUCUGGACCAUUCCUGACGCUGAGGCGCGAAAGCCGGGGGAGCAAACAGG
rnacentral:rRNA from 1 species